GACGAACGCUGGCGGCGUGCUUAACACAUGCAAGUCGAACGGAAAGGCCCUGCUUUUGUGGGGUGCUCGAGUGGCGAACGGGUGAGUAACACGUGAGUAACCUGCCCUUGACUUUGGGAUAACUUCAGGAAACUGGGGCUAAUACCGGAUAGGAGCUCCUGCUGCAUGGUGGGGGUUGGAAAGUUUCGGCGGUUGGGGAUGGACUCGCGGCUUAUCAGCUUGUUGGUGGGGUAGUGGCUUACCAAGGCUUUGACGGGUAGCCGGCCUGAGAGGGUGACCGGCCACAUUGGGACUGGGGUACGGCCCAGACUCCUACGGGGAGCAGCAGUGGGGAAUAUUGCACAAUGGGCGGAAGCCUGAUGCAGCAACGCCGCGUGCGGGAUGACGGCCUUCGGGUUGUAAACCGCUUUCGCCUGUGACGAAGCGUGAGUGACGGUAAUGGGUAAAGAAGCACCGGCUAACUACGUG
rnacentral:rRNA from 1 species